rnacentral:rRNA from 1 species
CGUAGGGUGCGAGCGUUAAUCGGAAUUACUGGGCGUAAAGCGUGCGCAGGCGGUUAUAUAAGACAGAUGUGAAAUCCCCGGGCUCAACCUGGGAAUUGCAUUUGUGACUGUAUAGCUAGAGUACGGCAGAGGGGGAUGGAAUUCCGCGUGUAGCAGUGAAAUGCGUAGAUAUGCGGAGGAACACCGAUGGCGAAGGCAAUCCCCUGGGCCUGUACUGACGCUCAUGCACGAAAGCGUGGGGAGCAAACAGGAUUAGAUACCCUGGUAGUCCACGCCCUAAACGAUGUCAACUGGUUGUUGGGUCUUCACUGACUCAGUAACGAAGCUAACGCGUGAAGUUGACCGCCUGGGGAGUACGGCCGCAAGGUUG